AAUAGAUACCCGGGUAGCCCACGCCGUAAACGAUGGAUGCUAGCUGUUAGGAGUAUCGACCCUCCUAGUAGCGUAGCUAACGCGUUAAGCAUCCCGCCUGUGGAGUACGGUCGCAAGACUAAAACAUAAAGGAAUUGACGGGGACCCGCACAAGCGGUGGAGCGUGUUGUUUAAUUCGAUGGUAAGCGAAGAACCUUACCCAGGCUUGACAUCCUGUUAAUUUCUCCGAAAGGAGAGAGUGCCUUCGGGCCGCAGUGACAGGUGAUGCAUGGCCGUCGUCAGCUCGUGUCGUGAGAUGUUUGGUUAAGUCCAUCAACGAGCGCAACCCCUAUGUUUAGUUGUAUUUUUCUAAACAGACUGCCCUGGUAACAGGGAGGAAGGAGGGGAUGAUGUCAGGUCAGUAUCUCCCUUACGUCUGGGGCUACAAACACGCUACAAUGGCCGGUACAAAGGGCUGCCAACCCGCGAGGGGAGCAAAUCCCAUCAAAGCCGGUCUCAGUUCGGAUAGCAGGCUGAAACUCGCCUGCUUGAAG
rnacentral:rRNA from 1 species